rnacentral:rRNA from 1 species
CCUACGGGUGGCAGCAGUAGGGAAUCUUCCGCAAUGGACGAAAGUCUGAUGGAGCAACGCCGCGUGAGGGAAGAAGGGUUUCGGCUCGUAAAGCUCUGUUGGUAGGGAAGAAAGAUAGCGGUAGUAACUGGCCUUUAUUUGACGGUAAUUACUUAGAAAGUCACGGCUAACUACGUGCCAGCAGCCGCGGUAAUACGUAGGUGGCAAGCGUUGUCCGGAUUUAUUGGGCGUAAAGCGAGUGCAGGCGGUUUGAUAAGUCUGAUGUGAAAGCCUUGGGCUCAACAGGGGAACUGCAUCAGAAACGGGCGAACUUGAGUGUAGAAGAGGAGAGUGGAAUUCCAUGUGUAGCGGUGGAAUGCGUAGAUAUAUGGAAGAACAUCAGUGGCGAAGGCGACUAUCUGGCACGCAACUGACGCUGAGGAGCGAAAGCAUGGGUAGCGAACAGGAUUAGAUACCCGGGUAGUC